rnacentral:rRNA from 1 species
GACAACGCUGGCGGCGUGCUUACACAUGCAGUCGAACGAUGAAGCUGGAGCUUGCUCCGGUGGAUUAGUGGCGAACGGGUGAGUAACACGUGAGCAAUCUGCCCUUCACUCUGGGAUAACUACGGGAAACUGUAGCUUAUACCGGAUACGAUCCCUAGGGGCGAUCCCUGGGGAUGGAAAGAAUUUCGGUGAAGGAUGAGCUCGCGGCCUAUCAGCUAGUUGGUGAGGUAAUGGCUCACCAAGGCGACGACGGGUAGCCGGCCUGAGAGGGUGACCGGCCACACUGGAACUGAGACACGGUCCAGACUCCUACGGGAGGCAGCAGUGGGGAAUAUUGCACAAUGGGCGAAAGCCUGAUGCAGCAACGCCGCGUGAGGGAUGAAGGCCUUCGGGUUGUAAACCUCUUUUAGCAGGGGAAGAAGGGUAACUGACGGUACCUGCAGAAAAAGCACCGGCUAACUACGUGCCAGCAGCCGCGGUAAUACGUAGGGUGCAAGCGUUGUCCGGAAUUAUUGGGCGUAAAGAGCUCGUAGGCGGUUUGUCGCGUCUGCUGUGAAAAUCCAAUGCUCAACAUUGGACCUGCAGUGGGUACGGGCAGACUAAGUGCGGUAGGG